CCUGUCCACCGCUACAGAAACCACAGUGGAGAGUCCUGCUGGUGCCCUCCUAACAGCCCUGGUAGAGCAGGCCAGUCUGAAACAGUCGGAGUUGGAAUCCCACCCGGUCCGUUCCUCCAUGAAGCAGCUGCUGCGGUCGAUGGACCAGCUGUGUCCCUUCGAGCCCCAGGGCUCCCCUUGCAGGCCAGACUACAUGAGGAGCUUCGUGGACUACGUCAACACGCUGGCUUCGGUGUUAAUACACAGCCUGGGAUCUGAAGACCAAAACAGUGAGGUGAAGUUGGGGG